rnacentral:tRNA from 1 species
UCCCUUAUGGUUCAGAUGGUAAAGCAUCUACCUGCAAUGCAGGAGACCUGGGUUCGAUCCCUGGGUGGGGAA